GACACUCUCAGCAAACUAUACAGACACUGACACUACACUGACAGUUUGAGUCAAUACCAGACACUCUCAGCAAACUAUACAGACACUGACAGUUUGAGUCAAUACCAGACACUCUCAGCAAACUAUACAGACACUGACACUAUAGGCAAUAUCAGAAGCUCUCAGCAAACUAUACAGACACUGACACUAUAGGCAAUAUCAGAUACUCUCAGCAAACUAUAGACACUGACAGUUUGAGACAAUACCAGACACUCUCAGCAAAAUAUACAGACACUGACACUACACUCACAGUUUGAGUCAAUAUCAGACACUCUCAGCAAAAUAUACGGACACUGACACUACUAGGCAAUACCAGACACUCUCAGCAAAAUAUACAGACACUGUCA